GAGUGUGUAUGUGAAGUUUUAGCUCAAAAUACCCCACAGAUCAUUUUUAUAGCAUGUUAAAUUUGUCACUUUUUGAGGGUGAGCAAAAACGCUCCGUUUUUGUGUGUCCCUUUAAAUGCAAAUGAGCUGCUGCUUCUAAGCAGAGGGUGGGGUUUCAAGAGCUUGUGUUAGCACAUAGUGUUAGCAGCACCGAUUACCUCAUGAAAACUAACUGAAAAUGUCAAAAACUGUACAGCCGUGUAUGUUCAAAACGAAGCCGGACAAUGAGGGAGAGACUCAAGCAGAAGUGACAACAUGCAGAAUGCAACAGGACGUUUCUGAAUGGUCUGGUGGAGAUGGCAGCGCAUGGGGUAGAAGUGAUGAAAGAGGAGAGAGAGCUCUCUGAGAUCUGGGCAGUUCAGUCAGCAUCUCAGCAGGCCUUAUGGAGACUAUUGAGGACUGCACUGGCUUUUUAGGUCCCUUUGAACAGACUCCUCCGGAUCUCAUGAUUUAUGUAUGAGGCUGAGGCGUGAUUCAUCUUGGCAUGGGGAGAGAAGUUGUCCUUUGUCUUCUGCUCUGUUGGCCAGUAAGAGGUUUCCUGAGGUCUGGAGAAGGGUCUUAGAGUUCUUCUGGACUCAAAUAGAAGUGUGUGUGUGUGUGUGCAUGUGCAUGUGUGUGUAUGUGUGAAAGAUAGAGAAGUGAGACUCUUUCUGGAGGUGUGGGAGUUUGCCCCACAGUUAUUACCCAACUGGAACUGCUUCAGUAUGGUGUUAGAGCCAGAUUGCGACAGACACACCAUGUAAACAAAUAAACAAACAACCCAUACUGUCAGAUACGCAGCAAGGAGGCUUAAUCUUAUUAUUGCUUAAACAGGACCCCGGUGGGAAAUAUAAAGAUCUAACUAAUCUAAAAAAUUGGAAUCCACUCACAUUACAAUGUUGUGAAUGUAACAUAAAUAUAAGAAUAAUUAAAGUGGUUGUCCCAGAUUUUUCCCGACCAGACAGGCUAUUAACGUGGGUGACACAUUGGAGAUAACAUAAGGUAGUUAAUUGAAAAAAAAAGAUUAGCAUGAAAUCCUAAAUGAAUAGCAAGUCUUUGACAAGAAGUAGUUUUAGUAAUAUGAAAUAUGUGAAAGGUAUGAAUAAAUGCAGUUUAUUUUGUUUUAUUUUAUUUUAUAAAAAUAUAGAUAUGAAUCUUAUGUAAUUUGUUUGAACAGAUUAUUAGUUUUUGAUUUGUAUUUAUGUAAUUAUGUAUACUAAUGACAAUUUUAUGCAUUGCAUGUAUAUGUAUCUAUUUACACUGCUGUAUAAAAUAUAUAAUUGUACAAAUAUAACGCUAAUAUCCCAUAACAAUUUUAUUGCUCCUUUUUUUUUUUUUUGCUUAGGAAAUUUAACUAAGAAUUAAAUAUGAAUUUUGAUGAUAAAUUAGACAAUUGUUGACAUUCAUUAUGAGAAGUGCUGGGUAGUAACUUAUUACUUGUAAUCCUGAUUAUGUAAUCGGAUUCCAAAAAUGUUGUACUUGUAAUUAUAUUAUAUUAUGUUUUUAAAUUUUAUGCAAGUUACUAAACACUGCUAUACUGUAUACUGUAUAUACUGUAGCUGUAAAACACUAUUCAAUUAACUAUUUAAUUAACUACACGUUCAUUUUAUAAUAAUUGAACAACACAUGUUCACAGUUGAUAUGGGUUCACACAUUGACA